UACGUAGGCAGCAAGCGUUGUUCGGAAUUACUGGGCGUAAAGAGUGUGUAGGCGGUGUUCUAAGUUUGUCGUGAAAUCUCCCGGCUUAACCGGGGAACUGCGUCUGAUACUGGAUGGCUUGAGUUUGGGAGAGGGACGCGGAAUUCCAGGUGUAGCGGUGGAAUGCGCAGAUAUCAGGAGGAACACCGGUGGCGAAGGCGGGUCUCUGGGCAGUAACUGACGCUGAGGAGCGAAAGCGUGGGGAGCGAACAGG
rnacentral:rRNA from 1 species